rnacentral:rRNA from 1 species
UGGGGAAUCUUAGACAAUGGGCGAAAGCCUGAUCUAGCCAUGCCGCGUGAGUGACGAAGGCCCUAGGGUCGUAAAGCUCUUUCGCCAGGGAAGAUAAUGACGGUACCUGGUAAAGAAACCCCGGCUAACUCCGUGCCAGCAGCCGCGGUAAUACGGAGGGGGUUAGCGUUGUUCGGAAUUACUGGGCGUAAAGCGCGCGUAGGCGGAUUAGUAAGUCAGGGGUGAAAUCCCGGGGCUCAACCCCGGAACUGCCUUUGAUACUGCUAGUCUUGAGUUCGAGAGAGGUGAGUGGAAUUCCGAGUGUAGAGGUGAAAUUCGUAGAUAUUCGGAGGAACACCAGUGGCGAAGGCGGCUCACUGGCUCGAUACUGACGCUGAGGUGCGAAAGUGUGGGGAGCAAACAGGAUUAGAUACCCCCGUAGUCC